rnacentral:rRNA from 1 species
GACGAACGCUGGCGGCAUGCCUAACACAUGCAAGUCGAGCGAGCAGAUCCCUUCGGGGUGAAGCUAGCGGCGGACGGGUGAGUAACACGUGGGCAACCUGCCUCAUAGAGGGGAAUAGCCUUCCGAAAGGAAGAUUAAUACCGCAUAAGAUUGUAGCUUCGCAUGAAGCAGCAAUUAAAGGAGCAAUCCGCUAGGAGAUGGGCCCGCGGCGCAUUAGCUAGUUGGUGAGGUAACGGCUCACCAAGGCGACGAUGCGUAGCCGACCUGAGAGGGUGAUCGGGCACAUUGGGACUGAGACACGGCCCAGACUCCUACGGGAGGCAGCAGUGGGGAAUAUUGCACAAUGGGGGAAACCCUGAUGCAGCAAUGCCGCGUGAGUGAUGACGGCCUUCGGGUUGUAAAGCUCUGUCUUCGGGGACGAUAAUGACGGUACCCGAGGAGGAAGCCACGGCUAACUACGUGCCAGCCGCCGCGGUAA